UACAGAGGGGGGCAAGCGUUAUUCGGAAUUAUUGGGCGUAAAGCGCACGUAGGCGGCUUUCUAAGUCAGGGGGUGAAAUCCUGGAGCCUCAACUCCAGAACUGCCUUUGAUACUGGGAAGCUUGAGUCCGGAAGAGGUGAGUGGAACUGCGAGUGUAGAGGUGAAAUGCGCAGAUAUCAGGAGGAACACCGAUGGCGAAGGCAGGUCUCGUGGGCAUUAACUGACGCUGAGGAGCGAAAGCAUGGGGAGCGAACAGG
rnacentral:rRNA from 1 species